AUCAGAGGGAGGCUGGAGCAGGAACAUGGGGACAGGAGCAUCUGGGGUAUUUCCAGCACUGGAAAGGAAAUGCUCUGUUGAAAAAGGUGACAAUAAUUGAACUACAUGUGAAAGUGACCGUAAACCACUCAGAUGUAUCCCAUGGAAAAGAAACCAACAGCAUCCACAUCUCUACCUCCCAUUAGCUGUAUCCCCGAAGCAGCCGAACCACCCACCUGAGGGGAAGGGUGACAGAGAGGACGCAGAAUGGAGGAAACAGCAGUCUUAAAUGCACAUUACUUUCUUUCCUCCAGCCUAGUGCCCAAAAUGCUUUUGGCGAAAGGAGUCAGAGUUCCAGUCUCACCUUCAGGAAGGAGCGAACUCCAUAGGUCAAAAUCUAAUGAGGCAAAUAAGA
rnacentral:lncRNA from 1 species